AUGUACAUGGAUGACCUGAAGCUAUAUGGGAAAACGGAAACUGAAAUCCAAUCUCUGACCAACACUGUCCGAAUUUUUAGCACUGAUAUCAACAUGGAGUUUGGUUUGGACAAAUGUUCGACAGUGGCAUUGAAGAAGGGAAAAAUAAUUGAAAGUGAGGGCAUCAAUAUGCCCAAUGGCCAAACAAUAAAGUGUCACCAGCCAGAGGCCUAUAAAUAUCUGGGCAUAUUACAGCUGGACAACAUCAAGCAUGAACAUGUGAAGAUUGUGGUCAGUAAAGAAUACACACAAAGGGUCAGAAAAAUUCUCAAAAGCAAGCUCAAUGGAGGCAACACCAUCAAGGCCAUAAACACCUGGGCCAUACCUGUCAUAAGAUAUACUGCUGGCAUUAUAAAUUGGACACAGGCGGAACUGGACAAUUUGGACAGAAAAACAAGAAAACUCAUGACCAUUCAUCAUUCACUGCACCCUCGCAGUGAUCUUGACCGGCUAUAUCUGCCUAGAAGAUCAGGGGGCAGAGGACUCUUACAAGUAAAACAAGCAGUCAAAGAAGAAGAACAUGCCCUGGCAGAAUAUGUCAAGCAAAGUGAAGAACCUGCUUUGAUUGAAGUCAAAAAUCAGAAACUCCUCAAAGCACAGCAGACAAAAAACCAGUACAAGAAAACCGCACUACAAACUAGAGCUGACAGCUGGCACAACAAAACACUGCAUGGAAAGUUCCUUGACAAAAUUGAAGGAAAAGCUGAUAAGGAGAAGACCUGGCUAUGGCUCACAAAUGGGACCCUGAAGAAGGAGACAGAAGGCCUGAUCCUUGCAGCCCAGGAGCAAGCCAUCAGAACAAAGGCAAUUAAGGCCAAGAUCGAAAAAUCAGCUGAUGACCCAAAAUGCAGACUGUGCAAGGAAACCGAUGAAACCAUUGAUCAUAUCCUCAGCUGCUGUAAGAAAAUUGCACAGACAGACUACAAACAGAGGCACAACUAUGUGGCCCAAAUGAUUCAUUGGAACCUAUGCCUCAAGUAUCACCUCCCUGCAGUUAAGAACUGGUGGGAUCACAAACCUGCAAAGGUUGUGGAAAAUGAACACGCAAAGAUACUGUGGGACUUCCGAAUCCAGACUGACAAAGUUCUGGAACACAACACACCAGACAUCACAGUUGUGGAAAAGAACAAGGUUUGGAUCAUUGAUGUUGCCAUCCCAGGUGACAGUCGCAUUGAAGAAAAACAACAGGAAAAACUCAGCCGCUAUCAGGACCUCAAGAUUGAACUUCAAAGACUCUGGCAGAAACCAGUGCAGGUGGUCCCGGUGGUGAUGGGCACACUGGGUGCCGUGCCAAAAGAUCUCAGCCAGCAUUUGGAAACAAUAGACAUUGACAAAAUUACGAUCUGCCAACUGCAAAAGGCCACCUUACUGGGAUCUGCACGCAUCAUCCGAAAAUACAUCACACAGUCCUAG
rnacentral:lncRNA from 1 species